GGUUUAUUGUAGCUGUGAGACACAGAAUAACAACAGGAAAACCCCCACAAACCCUGAAGACAAAAGUCAGAGAUUGAUGUGCCACUCCUGGUUAGCUUUCUUCAGUCCAGCCUAAUUUAGGUGGAAAAUGUUUGGUUGUUGUGAGUCAAUGACCCGCAACCCGCGUAGGGUAACUAAAACACAAGGACACAUGUAUUUUAGGUUAAUGGGCUAAAGAAGGCAAAUACUUUAUUGGGUACAUACAGCAUGAGAGUGGUAUUGGCUUAGGCAUUGGAUCAAACAACAUACCGUAUUUUUCGCUCUAUAGGAUGCACCAGACCAUAGGAGGGGGAGAACAGGGAAAAAAUUUUUUUUUCUUGUUCUCCCCCUCUAAAACAAGGUGCGUUCACCCAAAGCCUCGGGAGUGCAGCGGGAGUUCCUGCUGCGCUCUGGAGGCUUCAGGUGGCUACCUUGGAAGCCUGGAGAGCAAGACUCUCCUGGUUUCAGCAAAAGGAACCCGAAGCCUUUGGAGCACAGCGCGAGGUCCUGCUGUGCUCCAAAGGCUUCAGGGAUCUAUGAGGCUGGGGGGGGGGGGAAGCAGCACUUCCCCCCAGCACCAGCCUCACAAGCUGCUGAUGUGGGAACAGCUCCCGCUCACAACACCUCCCCUCUGGGAGGGGAGGCUUUGUGAGUCGAGGACCUACAACGGGUAAAUAAGACACAAGGACACAUGUAUUUUAGGUUAAUGGGCUAAAGGAGGCCACAACUUUAUUGGUUACAGCAUGUGAGUGGUAUUGGCUUAGGCAUUGGAUCAAACAACCUAUAUAUGACCCCACAGGACACAUAUUCCAAUGCCUAACCACCACCUGAGCCAAAGAGGCUCGCCGCCAAAUACCCUCACAGCUGCAACCAAUCCCUAAUGCUACUGAUAUUGGCCAACCACACAUCAUUUCCUUGAUCAGACAAAUGAACGCCAUCGUCUCUAAACAGGGCCACCUCGCUGAAUCUGAUGUCAACAUGCUUGAUCCCAUGGCUGUUAAUAAAACACAAUUUGCGGGCCACCACACGAUUCAAGAGUUUCCCGGAUUUGUCGAUGGCAACGACUGCCACACCAAACUCUCCUCUUCAGAAGGGAGGACCAAAACAAGGUAGACUCCGGAAACAGAGCAGCAAGUUCGUCUAAGUCCUUUUUUACGUUCAAUAACAAGUCCAAGCUCUUCCUGAAGGCCAAGUCUUUCUCCCCAGCUGAAUGAUCAGGAUGUCAGGUGGGCCAAACGCUGCUGCUUUUGCCUUUGUAACUGGCAUCAACUCCUCCCAUUGCAUGCCACGUCUUGAAAUCCAGGAAACUCUCACACUUGCAGGCAGUCCCAGGUUGUCGCCCAAGCUGCAAUCUCUGGCCCAGUGGACGAUACUGUGACCGCAGAUCCAAACUUGAAUGUUAGAAGAAGCUGAGGGUAAGAAAACAAGGACAGGUAAGUGGUUGCGUUCUAAAAAUUCUUUCAUAUGUACCAUUUCAAUGCAUUCCUGAUUCUAUCUGUUGAGUGGCCUAAAGGGGCAGCCAUUGUGGCGGCCCCAAUCCUGAAAGAGUCGGCAGCAUAUUCCUCUGCAGGGAAACCACAGGCAUCAAUCGCUUUGCGCAAUACUUGCAUGAACUGAUGCCUCUUCAAACAGGAACCAUUCUCGUGUAUGAGUAAAGGGCCACAGCCAGGGGGUCUAAGAUAUAAGUACCUCCUAGUGUCUUUUACUGGGCAUGGACCCUGGUUUUCAGAAGCAGAAAGUCUGAUUGGGACACCCUUUCCCUGUUGGUCAGUUUUUGACCGCUGAAUGUAUAUUAUUAACUCGGAGUUGGAUAAUUGUAUGUCAUUUAAGUGGAGGCCGCGAGAGGAGCCAUCGGGUUGGGCCUCAAACAGAACCUCAUCAACACUCAGGGCUCCGAAGGCGGCAAUGGAGAAUGCCGCGGAAAACAAACGUGCUUCAUAUUUUGACCAACAUAUUGACCUUAGUUUCUGGCGUAUCAGGCAGAGGAGAUCAAAUGUUACCAGCUUUCUGCUCUCGCCAUUUGCAAGUUGGAGUCUGCCCCAGCCCUUAAUUGCUCUACGAACGAUAAAAUCAGCGCAAGGGUCAGCUGAGAAUAUAACUUUGCUAAAAAAGCUGAUGGCAGCCGAAUGGAUUCUUAAGGUUUCUGCUGCACAUCCCAAAUUAUGCAGGUGCGCUAGGUAGUGUAACACGUGAUCAGUAGUGGGCAGGAUAUUGGGGGCAAGAGCUGAAACCUUGGAUCUGAAAUCCAGGAAAUCGCACCAGGCUUUCUUAUACGACCUGAGAGUAGAAGGUUCCAGUGAGGCUAAUACUCCCUUGAUAACUUCACAUUUCCAAUGCUCCAGAGGUGGUCUGAGAAAGGUUCCGGCAGCUGCUGGGCCGAAGAUGCUAAGUGGAAGCAGUUCAUCUGACUCCUCAUCCGUAUCCCGCGAUCUAGACUUCUCGUAAACGUGUUUCUUCUUGGAGCGUCUCUUCCCUGCCGGCUUAUCUGUUGUGGUGGGUUGUUGCUCGGCUGAUGCCUGAAGCUGCACCUCCUCACCAUCAGAGAUCUCGGACUCAGGAAGUUGAACCCCUGGCUGAGAGCUCUGAAGAAGACUAGAAGAAGACUGAGACAUAGACAUGUUAUCGGGUGGAACAGAAGCCAAUCGACCUGUAGCAUGUGUUGCUGCUGACAAGGCGCGGGACAUUCGGGACCUAGCACGAGUCUGUGGAGGUUGAUUAGCUGACAACAUGGCCCGCGUACCUGCGCUUGCGAAUUGGGAUUCGUUAAAUAAUGACGCAGAUGUGCCAGGCAGCUCACCAUCGAGGGAUGGGGCAUCAGGCGCCGUGUCAGGAAUAAAACUAGGAGAAGGGGAGGACGUUGGCAAACGGUUAGCAAUACGUUGUUCAAAAUCAUUCAUAAAACACUUGAAAGCAUUAAAUAAUUGAGACAUGGUUUUAGGAUCAGAAUCUUCCUUACGCGACUCCCGAUUGCUUGAGGUAGGACGUUUUGCCUUAGAAGCGGGAUUUUCGGCAGGAACUUUCCUCUUUGGCGCCAUUGGGAAACAAUUACACAGUGCUAAACAACACUAUACACAGCAAAACGCAGUAGUGUGAAUUAUACUUCUUGUCUCUUUUUUUAUUGAUUGAUUGGAUUUUGUUAUUUAUUUUUAUUUUUUAAUUAAUUUUAAUUUUUUUAUUAUAUAUCUUUUAUUUAUUAUCACUUAAGGCUAGCCCUAUAAGACAGCUUUAAGGAAAAGGCAACAAAACUAUGCCAGCAACAACUUAGAUAAAUUAGCUGCGAAAGCAAAACCAAAUUACUGAGACAAAAUAAAACCCUGUAAAACUGGCAAAUGUGCUACAGCACACAACAGCCAGCUAUCAGCAAGCCUUAAUUAACCUAGUCCCAAUCCCAAUUUAAAUACGAUUAAUGCAAUAUAAUUCUAGAACCCCUAGUUAAUUUAAACUCAAAACCAAGGGAAAUAAAUUUGCAGCUGUUACUUAGCUCGGUGUUGUUUCAAGUAAAAUUGCAGCUGUUACUAGAGCUCCAAGCCGCUAGAAAAUAAACUGUCGCCAAAAGAUUUGUACGUAAACCUUAAAAUUAAAAUGAACCAAGAUAAACUGUAGCCAAAUCAAUUCAGAAUAAAGUGAUCCAAAGGGAAGCAAGACGUAAGCCCCCCACCCAAGUUCAAGGCUCCGGUCCUAUGACCGGCAGUGAAGCGAUUAGGACUACUGGCAAGGCAACUGGAGGGCAAUUAAGCAGUUUUGGAUAACAAAGGACAAAAUGCAGGAGCAAGUCAAACAAAAGCAGCCCCGGUGAGAUGUAGGGCAAAGGGCGCUGGAGGGAAAAGCACACCCGUUCAGGCAAUGUUCCUUGUUAAUAUUUGGAGGAAGAAGCCCCUUUGCUGAGGAAGAAAGGCCCUAGCAAAUAAGAAACCCCACCAGUAAGGUUGAAAAAAGGUUGGGGGGGUGCUGAGAAAGAAAAGGGAUGGGGGUGGGGGUUCGAAGCCCACCUGGCUGAAUGGAGCCAGCCAAUAUAAAACCCCAGAGGAACCUGGAGAGCCCGGCGAACUAAAAAGGAAAACAGGCAGGCUCUCUCUUCUGAAGGGCAGGGGGGAGCCCCGGCAGGGGAAAUCCCAACAAAUGACGCAAGGGCUGGGUGGGUGUCCCUGUGGGGUAGGUGUGUAGGUACGUUGAUAUGUAUAGUAUAGGUAGGUAUUAUAUAGAGUAAUGUAGGUAUCUUUUAUGUUAUGAAAAUAAGGUGUGUUGUGUAUGUGUAUUGUGUAAAUGUAUUAUAUGUUAGGAAAAUAAAAAAUGGGGGGAAAGGACACAACGGCUGGACUGGGAGAAGCUAAAAACAAAGCACAAAGGGGGCGCCCCGGCAGGGGAAAGCCAAACAAAUCAGUUUUUUUUUCCGCCCUCCACCCAAAGCAGCCUCCAAACGUCGAGGAGAAAAGAGAAGAGAGUUGCUGGUCAGAGGAGGAAUGUAAGAAGGAAGGGAGGAGAGAGCAGCUGGCGAGGACG